rnacentral:rRNA from 1 species
UACGUAGGGGGCAAGCGUUGUCCGGAAUCAUUGGGCGUAAAGAGCGUGUAGGCGGCCCGAUAAGUCCGCCGUGAAAGUCCAGGGCUCAACCCUGGAAUGCCGGUGGAAACUGUCGGGCUGGAGUCCGGAAGAGGCGAGUGGAAUUCCCGGUGUAGCGGUGAAAUGCGCAGAUAUCGGGAGGAACACCUAUGGCGAAGGCAGCUCGCUGGGACGUUACUGACGCUGAGACGCGAAAGCGUGGGGAGCAAACAGG